CUUUUUUCUUCCUGUUUUGUUGUUGUUUUUAUCUCUAGUAACACCAAAGUACAUACUCUCAUUGACCUUACAGACCUCUUAUAACCGUUUGUAACCCCCACAUGCCUAUUAAGGCUUAGUCAGUUUGCUAGAACACCCAGCUAGCAGUAAUCGUACACGACCAAAGCGGUUCCCAACCCCCGUCUCUGCAAUAUAGGCCGGGGCAUAAAACAAAAGGCCGUUAGCCUGACUACCAGUGUACCCACAUAGUCACAGCUCGGGAGACCAGACUAAGGCUCACACACCUAGUCUUCACGUUAGCCCAAAACACACCACACCUACAAUCUGAGACGUGACUAAGUAGUUUGCUCUUAUGCGACACUAUAUAAUAAAAUGGGUCCUGCAACCUAUGAACAGGAGCACCCACUUAUCCAGGGGAGUACGUACGAAAAACGGAGAGGCCACAUAGCAGAGACUGCUCCCUCACUUACUAGUGCCACCCAAGCCACUGACCUCACAUAGACACGAACACACAUACCAGACAGUAGCGAUUCCUUUUAUACUUAAAACCCUCAGCUCUGUACUAUCUGUUAAAUUACAACCAGUUAAAAGGCUAAUAUAAGAUUCUUAUUGACUGUUUUACAAUGUCUGUACAUAGCGAUUAUAUGCUCUUCUCGCACCUAUGAGCAAGGGGAAA